rnacentral:lncRNA from 1 species
AAUAGCGCAUGCAAUGUCACAAGAGGGAUUAAGUCGAUGUGAGGAUGGCUACUGGGUCAAAGAUACUCCGGCGUUGGUAGAAGCAGCAGUUGCAUAAGACUAUCGUCUUCAUGAACCUCCAUAGAACUGUUGGUUUUCUUCGAAGGGUUGUGAGGAUUUGCAUUCUGAUGACUCCAUUUCUUGUUUGGUUGCUCUCUAUCCAGUAUUGUUAAUGAUUUUGUUUGAGCAACUACAGGUCAAAAUCACACGACUGAGAGAUUCGUUUUAGUAUUUUCCUUAUAACUGUUGGUUCUUUUAA